rnacentral:tRNA from 1 species
GGGUGAUUAGCUCAGUUGGUAGAGCGUCUGCCUUACAAGCAGAAUGUCGGCGGUUUGUUUCCGUCAUCACCCACCA